rnacentral:tRNA from 1 species
AAGGUUUUAAGUUAAAAAAACUAAUAGCCUUCAAAGCUAAAAAUAAAUUAUUAUCAUUUAAACCUUA